GACGAACGCUGGCGGCGUGCUUAACACAUGCAAGUCGAACGGAAAGGCCCUGCUUGCAGGGUACUCGAGUGGCGAACGGGUGAGUAACACGUGGGUGAUCUGCCCUGCACUUCGGGAUAAGCUUGGGAAACUGGGUCUAAUACCGGAUAGGAGCCAUCUUUAGGGGGGGGGUGGGAAAGUUUUUUCGGUGUAGGAUGAGCUCGCGGCCUAUCAGCUGGUUGGUGGGGUAAUGGCCUACCAAGGCGGCGACGGGUAGCCGGCCUGAGAGGGUGUACGGCCACAUUGGGACUGAGAUACGGCCCAGACUCCUACGGGAGGCAGCAGUGGGGAAUAUUGCACAAUGGGCGCAAGCCUGAUGCAGCGACGCCGCGUGGGGGAUGAAGGCCUUCGGGUUGUAAACUCCUUUCGCUAGGGACGAAGCUUUGUUGUGACGGUACCUAGAUAAGAAGCACCGGCUAACUACGUG
rnacentral:rRNA from 1 species